GUUGGCAUCCAUAUCACCCUGUAGUACAAGACUGGUCGCCCACUAAAGCUAAGCAGGGUUGAGCCUGGUCAGUACCUGGGGGCUGUUUCAUAAAACAAGUUUACCAAAUAAGCCAGGCUUAUUUCAUUU
ensembl:rRNA 5S_rRNA 5S ribosomal RNA